rnacentral:rRNA from 1 species
UACGUAGGGGGCAAGCGUUAUCCGGAUUUACUGGGUGUAAAGGGAGCGUAGGCGGCUUAGUAAGUCAGAAGUGAAAGCCCGCAGCUCAACUGCGGGACUGCUUUUGAAACUGCCAAGCUAGAGUGUCGGAGAGGUAAGUGGAAUUCCUAGUGUAGCGGUGAAAUGCGUAGAUAUUAGGAGGAACACCAGUGGCGAAGGCGGCCUGCUGGGCUUUUACUGACGCUGAGGCUCGAAAGUGUGGGGAGCAAACAGG